GGGCACUUAGCUCAGUGGAAGAGCAUCGCCUUCACACGGCGGGGGUCACAGGUUCAAAUCCUGCAGUGCCCA
rnacentral:tRNA from 1 species